GACGAACGCUGGCGGCGUGCCUAAUACAUGCAAGUUGAGCGCUGAAGGUUGGUACUUGUACCAACUGGCUGAGCAGCGAACGGGUGAGUAACGCGUGGGGAAUCUGCCUUUGAGCGGGGGACAACAUUUGGAAACGAAUGCUAAUACCGCAUAAAAUCUUUAAACACAAGUUUUAAGUUUGAAAGAUGCAAUUGCAUCACUCAAAGAUGAUCCCGCGUUGUAUUAGCUAGUUGGUGAGGUAAAGGCUCACCAAGGCGAUGAUACAUAGCCGACCUGAGAGGGGGAGAGGCGACACUGGGAAUGAGACACGGCCCAAACACCCCCACGAGGCACAAGAAGGGAAACUUUGGCGCAAGAGGCAAGACCGAGCGAGCAAAGCGGCGUGAGUGAAGAAGGGGUUCGCAGCGCGAAAAUCUGUGUGUAGAGAAGAGAGCUGGUGAGAGUGGAACGCUCCUCAAGUGACGGGAACCACACAGAAAGGGACGGCUAACUACGUG
rnacentral:rRNA from 1 species